GACGAGCGCUGGCGGCGUGCUUAACACAUGCAAGUCGAGCGGUAAGGCCCUUUCGGGGGUACACGAGCGGCGAACGGGUGAGUAACACGUGGGUGACCUGCCCUCAGCUCUGGGAUAAGCCUGGGAAACCGGGUCUAAUACUGGAUAUGACUCCAUGACGCAUGUUGUGGGGUGGAAAGCCUUGUGCGGCUGAGGAUGGGCCCGCGGCCUAUCAGCUUGUUGGGGGGUGA
rnacentral:rRNA from 1 species